CAGCAGUGAGCGAUGACGAAUGUCAUCUACAAUGUCAUCGAGGCGUUGACGCCAGCCAAAUCGAACCCUUUGUUUUUUCUUUUGUUUCUUUCUUUUCCGCGCGUGCCGAACGUAAUUCGGUUCUGCCGACCGUGCGCAGUAGCAGAGAACUUCGUUUUAUCUUUUCGUCUUCUUUGCGCCUGCGUCGACAGAACUCUUUUUCUUUCUUCGCUUUGCAUUUGCUAUUUUCCGCGCGUGCCGAACAUAAUUCGGUUCUGCCGACCGUGCGCAGUAGCAGAGAACUUCGUUUUAUCUUUUCGUCUUCUUUGCGCCUGCGUCGACAGAACUCUUUUGCUUUGUUCUUUGCUAUUUGCAAUCGUCACACCGAUCGGUCGUCGUCUCACUUUUUUUUGUGUGUGCGAAUUGUGUGUGUUCUCUUUUUUUUUAAACUUUUCAGAAACCCAAGUCGGAAGCGCUUCGUCGAUGGAGAUUUCUGUGUUGUGCUUUCCGUCCGGUUUCAAAUGGCUUAGUGACACGCAUUAAAUGUAAAAUAAUAAUAGGGUAGGCCUCAGCUUAGGAGCAAAAUACAUAAGAACACCACACUCGUGGCCGACGAGCCAGUAGCCGGAAAAUUGACAGCGUGCCGCUCCAAGCUGAGAGGACCAUCUCGCCUACAUUGUGGUUGCACGUUACAGGUCCACAAAGACAAUUUGAGGCCCCUCAACGAGUAUUUCUGCCUCCUUAUAAUCCUGCAGGUUUUUUGGGGUCCGCCGAAAAUUAGGCACCGUCUAACGAGCAGCAAGAGAAAUUCUCUUUAACAGUCGGCAAAGAGGACCUGGGAUCAGAGCCAGGUCAGACUUCCUCGUCGAAAGGAGAGCGGAUUCGAAGUCGAAGUUCGACAUGAAGAAAGGCUACAAAUAGAUGACAUAAGACGCCAUUGCAGCAUUCCAAGCCUGGUCGACGGCAUUAAAUGGUGCUCACCAAGUACCCUCUAAAGUGGCACCCGGAUAAUAGCAUUCAACUGUAACAACAAGUGAAAUAUAUCCCAGGCAGUGAGGCGUUGAUACCCUUUCGAUACACCCUUUCGACGGGGCUUACCCGCUUGGGUUAUAAAUUGGAGGAGGCUCGUCUUCCACGACAACCAGCUGAAGUUCAUCAAAGUUCGCCGGAGCUUUGGGACGUCCCUGUGGAGCACUUCGGCGAGCAAGAGAGGAGAGGCCAACUAGUGCCCGGCAGACGGCAGCCGCGUCGGCUUGAUACCUCGCUCCGCGUAUGCGUCCAAACCCCGUGCGUAGGGGAGGACGCAGAGAAAAAAAAGUGUUCUGCAAGUAGUGGCAAUUAGUGGCAGAUCGAAAGAGAAUUUGUCACCGAAAUCCAGCCUAUUCUAAAAGAAACAAAAAAAAAAAACAAAGCAGAAAUAAGAAACAAAUAACGUAACACAGCCAUAUGCUCUUGUAUUUUCCUUGUAUUUCCUUGUAUUUUAUUUAUAUUUGUAA